ensembl:miRNA mdo-mir-7374d mdo-mir-7374d
AAGCCCUUACCCAUCUAGCUGAUGAAUGUUUCUCAGGUAGAGAGGAAGGGGUUGCU